CACUGGUCUUGGAAUAUAACAUUCAAAGCUUCUCAAAUUUAUUUGACCACAGAAUGCCUUUUGUCAAACUUCUAAUUUACACAGCCUGGAAAUCUAUUUGGGAAAGGCUGCUGUAGUGCUCAUAAAAGUUAAAACAUUAUCAACUAUGAGAGCCCACCAUUCACACUGAUCCAACAGUUUUGAGAACAAAGUUUUUUUCCCAACUGCUCUAUUCAACUUAAGUUUUAACCAGAAUAGCCCAGGUCCUCUGUGGUUAAGUUUUAACCAGAAUAGCCCAGGUCCUCUGUGGUUAAGUUUUAACCAGAAUAGCCCAAGUCCUCUGUGGUCCAAUAGUGUAUUUGUUUUCUUCUAACAUUAGUAUCAAUUAUUCAUUUUCUUAAGACACUGCACAAAGUCUCUCCUGCAUAAGUCUCAAAGUAGUUAUGGGACUGUCUUGUUUCCUAUUUAAACGCAAGUAGCUUCAGUACUCCAAUAUUUAAUGCAAUAUUUACUUUAAAUUUUAGUAACUAAUUUUUAUCAGAUUUAAGUAAUUUCUUCCUAUCUGUAUUUUACUUAGAACUUUUACUGGGAAAGACUAAAUUCUAUCAAAUGUCCACUUUAUCAUAUAAUAAAAUCACAUGAUUUUAACCUUUCAUUCAUUCAGCAAUGAAGUAUACUGAAAUAUCCUGGUGGUAAAAUAUCCUUACAUCCUAGAAUAAACCUUACCUAGUCAUGCUAUAUUAUUAAUUUAGAUUGCUGAUAAAGUUCAUUCCCUAAUGCUGAAAUAAGAAACAUAACUUUAAACAAACAUACCUUAACUAUUUGGAAAAGUAAUUAUGCAGCUGCAAAGACUAAGAUAGGAAAAGAAAUUAACACUACAUAAUCUGAUUUACCAGAAAUUUUACUAAAAUAUAUUUAUUUUAUUUUAGUCACAUUCUUACUUGUAUAGAUUGACAAACUUCAGUUUCUUUUAGAUCAAAUUAAUUUUUUAAAUUCCUCUAUGAAAGUGAAAUUAUGUCAUUUGUCUUCUAAAGAUAUAUUUCAGAAAACAUAAAGUAUCUAAGAAUAUGAACAGCAACUGUGAAUGUUAACAAGGCAAAUUUAAGUAUCAGAAAGUUGAAAGAUGAAAGACAAAAUAACCUAAGAAUAAAAAAGUUCUUAUUUAACUAAUGAUUCACCUAAAUAAUACCACCUAUUUUUUUAACUUUCAAGAUUUUUUAUUGUAAUUUUCUAUGUAAUCAUACGAAGUGCAUUCCUGUGAACUACUUUUAAUACUAAAAUGAAUCAUAUAAUAUAACAAUAGAGGGAAAAGCUGCUCAAAUAUUCUAUAAUAUUCUUGAGUCAUGGAUGAGCAGAUACAAAUGCAAAAGAAUCUUAACCAUUUAAUCACUGGCAAGGAUGUGGAGAAAAAGGGACCCUCAUAUGCUGUUGGUGAAAAUGUAAAUUAGUAAAACCAUUAUGAAGAACAGUUUGGAGGGUCCUCAAAAACCUAAAAAUAGAGCUACCAUAUGAUUUAGCGAACUCACUGCUGGGUAUAUAUCCAAAACAAAGGAAAUCAGUAAAUCGAAAAGAUAUCUGUGCUCUCUCUGCCCAGCCGCCCCAUCUGGGAGGUGAGGAGCGCCUCUGCCCGGCCGCCCAUCGUCUGGGAAGUGAGGAGCGCCUCCGCCCGGCCGCCCCGUCUGGGAGGUGAGGAGCGCCUCCGCCCCGCCGCCCCGUCUGGGAGGUGAGGAGCGCCUCCGCCCGGCCGCCCAGUCUGGGAUGUAGGAGCGCCUCCGCCCGGCAGCCCAUCAUCUGGGAAGUGGGGAGCGCCUCCGCCCGGCCGCCCCGUCUGGGAAGUGAGGAGCGCCUCCGCCCGGCUGCCCCAUCUGGGAAGUGAGGAGCGUCUCUGCCCACCCGCCCAUCGUCUGGGAAGUGAGGAGCGCCUCUGCCCAGCCGCCCAUCUUCUGGGAUGUGAGGAGUGCCUCUGCCCAGCCACCCCGUCUGGGAAGUGGGGAGCGCCUCUGCCCGGUGCCCCAUCUGGGAGGUGUACCCAACAGCUCCGAAGAGACAGCGAUCAUCGAGAAUGGGCCAUGAUGACGAUGGCAGUUUUGUCGAAAAGAAAAGGGGGAAAUGUGGGGAAAAGAAAGAGAGAUCAGAUUGUUACUGUGUCUAUGUAGAAAGAAGUAGACAUAGGAGACUCCAUUUUGUUCUGUACUAAGAAAAAUUCUUCUGCCUUGGGAUGCUGUUAAUCUAUAACCUUACCCCCAACCCCGUGCUCUCUGAAACAUGUGCUGUGUCAACUCAGGGUUAAAUGGAUUAAGGGUGGUGCAAGAUAUGCUUUGUUAAACAGAUGCUUGAAGGCAGCAUGCUCGUUAAGAGUCAUCACCACUCCCUAAUCUCAAGUACCCAGGGACACAAACACCGUGGGAAGGCUGCAGGGACCUCUGCCUAGGAAAACCAGAGAACUUUGUUCACGUGUUUAUCUGCUGACCUUCUCUCCACUAUUAUCCUAUGACCCUGCCACAUCCCCCUCUCCGAGAAACACCCAAGAAUGAUCAAUAAAUACUAAAAAAAAAAAAAAAAAAAGAUAUCUGUGCUCCCACGUUGGUUGCAGCACUGUUUGCAAUAGCCAAAAUUCAGAAGCAAACUAAGCAUCCAUCAACAGAUAAAUGGAUAAAGAAAAUGUGGUACAUAUAUACAAUGGAGUACUAUUCAGCCAUGAAAAAAGAAUGAGAUCCAGUAACUUAUAACAACAUUAAUGGAGCUGGAGAUCAUUACAUUAAAUGAAAUAAGCCAGACACGCAGACAACCAUUGCAUGUUCUCACUUAUUUGUGAGAUCCAAAAAUCAAAACAAUGGAACUCAUGAACACAGAGAGAAGAACGAUGGUUACCAGACGCUGAAGAGGGUAGCGGAGUAUGGGAAUGAGUUAAGGAUGGUUAAUGGGUUAAAAAAAAAAAUAGAAAGAAUGAAUAAGGCCUAAUAUUUGAUAGCAUAACAGAGUGACUAUAGUCAAUAAUAAUAUAACUGUACAUUUUAAAAUAACUAAAAGAGGCUGGGCGCAGUGGCUCAUGUCUAUAAUCCCAGCACUUUGGGAGGCCAAAGUGGGUGGAUCACCUGAGUUCAGGAGUUCGUGACCAGCCUAUGCAACAUGAUAAAACCCCAUCUCUACUAAAAAUAUAAAAAUUAGCUGGGCAUGGUGGCAAGCACCUGUAAUCCCAGCUCUUUGGGAAGCCAAGGCAGGAGAAUCACUUGAACCUGGGAGUUGGAAGGUGCAGUGAGCCGAGAUCGUGACACUGCACUCCAGCCAGGGUGACAAGAGUGGAACUCCAUCUCAAAAAAAUAAAUAAUAUAAUAAAUAAAAUAAAUAAUAUAAUAAAUAAAUAAUAUAUAAUAUAAUAAUAUAAUAAAAAAUAAUAUAAUAAAAAUAAAAUAACUAAAAGAGUUUAACUGGAUUGUUUGUAACACGAAGGGAGGAGAUGGAUACCCAUUUUACAUGAUGUGAUUAUUAUGCAUUGCAUGGCUAUCAAAAUAUCUCACAUACCCCAUAAAUAUAUAUACCUACUGUAUACUCACAAAAAUUAAAAUAAAAAAAUUUUAGGGUCUGGUGCCAUAGCUCAUGCCUAUAAUCCCAGCACUUUGGGAGGCCGAGGCAGGUGGAUCACCUGAGGUCAGGAGUUCGAGACCAGCCUGGCCAACAUGGUGAAACCCCAUCUCUACUAAAAAUACAAAAUUAGCCUGGUGUGGUGAUGCAUGCCUGUAAUUCCAGCUACUUGGGAGGCUGAAGUAGGAGAAUCAUUUGAACCUAGGAGGUGGAGGCUGCAGUGAGCUGAGAUCGUGCCAUUGCACUCCAGCCUAGGCAACAAGAGCGAAACUCCAUCUCAAAAAAAAAAAAAAAUUUAAUAACCAAGGAAAUUUAAUUAAUUUGCUUCAAAGUGAUGCUGGUAUGUAUGAACUGACAUACACACCAAAUUUAAUCAAUUUCCUCAGUUAUUCCUUUCAAAAUCAAUCUUAGCCAAUAAGCUUAUGUUAGCUAUUAGACUCAGAUGGAAAUAAGCCUUUAUUAUACAAAGUAAUAAUUAGUCACAACUUCAAAGUCCUUUGAGUCCACUUAAUAGCAUCAAUCUGAUCCAACCUUAAUAAACUCUACAGGAAUUUAUACCACUCUCGUUUUCAUAGUGUCUAUUUUUGUUUAAUCAAAUACUACACUAUCAGAUAAAAUCAAAGUAAAGAACAAGAAUAUAUAGGCCGGGCACAGUGGUUCACACCUGUAGUCUCAGCACUUUGGGAGGCUGAGGCAGGCAGAUCAUUUGAGGUCAGGAGUUUGAGACCAACCUGACCAACAUGAUGAAACCCCGUCUCUACUAAAAUACAAAAAUUAGCCGGGUGUGGUGGUGGGGCAUCUGUAAUCUCAGCUACCUGGGAGGCUGAGGCAGGAGAAUCACUUGAACCCAGGAGCUGGAGGUUGCAGUGAGCCAAGAUCGUACCACUGCACUCCAGCCUGGGCAACAGAGCAAGACUCCCCCUUAAAAAAAAAAAAAAUAUAUAUAUAUAUGUAUAUAAUAAGAAUUCCUAAUAUUCCACUUACUACAUUACUGCCAAGAUUGUAACAAUCCAAACGUUAAAUAAAAUACCUAAAGAUAUGAAUGUAUUAGAUGAAUUAUCA
rnacentral:lncRNA from 1 species